rnacentral:rRNA from 1 species
UACAGAGGGGGCAAGCGUUGUUCGGAAUUACUGGGCGUAAAGGGCGCGUAGGCGGCCUGCUAAGUCGAACGUGAAAUCCCUGGGCUCAACCCAGGAACUGCGUCCGAUACUGGUUGGCUUGAAUCCGGGAGAGGGAUGUGGAAUUCCAGGUGUAGCGGUGAAAUGCGCAGAUAUCAGGAGGAACACCGGUGGCGAAGGCGGUUCUCUGGGCAUGAUCUGACGCUGAGGAGCGAAAGUGUGGGGAGCGAACAGG